UAGGGAAUCUUGCGCAAUGGGCGAAAGCCUGACGCAGCGACACCGUGUGAAGGAUGAAGGUCUUCGGAUCGUAAACUUCUGUCAGUUGGAGAAGAAGGUGCUGGAGUUAAUAGCUUUUAGCACUGACGGUAUCCAAUAAGGAAGUCUCGGCUUACUCCGUGCCAGCAGCCGCGGUAAGACGGGGGAGGCAAGCGUUGUCCGGAUUUAUUGGGCGUAAAGAGCGCGUAGGUGGUUUUUCAAGUCAUAUGUGAAAACUUCAGGCUUAACCUGAAGAUUGCAUAUGAUACUGGGAAACUUGAGUACAGUAGAGGAAAGCGGAAUUCCUGGUGUAGCGGUGAAAUGCGCAGAUAUCAGGAAGAACACCAGUGGCGAAGGCGGCUUUCUGGGCUGUUACUGACACUGAGGCGCGAAAGCUAGGGGAGCGAACAGGAUUAGAUACCCUGGUAGUCUUAGCUGUAAACGAUGGACACUAGGUGUGGGGAGUUAUCGACGCUUUCCGUGCCGCAGCUAACGCAUUAAGUGUCCCGCCUGGGGAGUACGACCGCAAGGUUA
rnacentral:rRNA from 1 species